CUCCUUUCUUUGUUAUUUACUAUACUCCCUCUGUAAACGUCUUAGAUUUGUUUACAGAGGGAGUAUUUUACAUCUGCUUCCUUCCUUUGUGCUCCAAGUUGCUAUUAUUGCACGGAAGCCCUAGGUGUUGCCUAGUCAUCAAAUGCCAAGUUAACACCUAGUGCUUCUAUAGUGCUAGAAGACUUCACAAUGUUGUGGUGAGUCUAUACCACGGCACCUCUAAUUCUUUGGAUUACGAGGCGUGAAGGGCACUAAAUAACAUUGACACCUAGUGAUUGCAGUAAUAUCAGUUGUCAAGGUCAUCACUAGCUAAGGUGGAGCACAUUGACAUACGUCUAGCAUUUUCUCAAGCCAUACCCCUUACGAGUGGGGAGCCUUCUAACCAAAUGGACACCUUUGUAGUAGUUGCAUCCCUGUGUUAACUUUAGUUAUGUCACCCGAAUGUCGUUGCCAACUUUAGUAAUUGGACUGUCGCGAGCUAGUGAGUAACACUAAAGUUAAAAGCUAAGGAUCCACCCAAAUGACAAAUGAAAUUCCACAUCAAGUUCCUGCUAAUAUAAUAUAUUUGCUAGUUCAGUUUUAACUGAUGUCCUUCCAAUGGUUGCCGUUUAUAGAAGGGAUUAGUCUACAACCAUUCUGUACUUAUUGCCUUUGUAAUGGUUGAUAGAUUAUAUGAUAGAGGAGACUCGGCUUGAGAGAGGAGGGAGAUAACGGGGUUAGUGGAGGUGACUGGACUUUUUUAUUGAUUAUUUGGUCUAUCAUAGAUGAGUGCACACCCUUCCUUAUACAUGCAGGGGUGGAUAACAUGGCAAUGAAAAAUUGAAAACUCUUAUCUAAUUUCACUAACGAACAUAAUUAUAUCAUUUAUUUGAUGACUAGGGCUGAUGCCCCCUAACUUGCACACACGAAGCUGUGGUAGAAGUUGCUACCAUUUCUGAAGCGUUGCGUCGCCUAACUACAGGGCCCUUAACUACGUAGAAGCUUAACGGAUGUUGGAGUUGAAUCUCUCAGCACCUCUCUUCCCUGAGAUAUUCUUCACACUAACACACACAUAACACUAGCAAUGAAGCUUAGCUGAAUCACGCAACUCAUUGUCUUAGAAACCGGACCGGACCGGCUGUCAGAGCGGAAUCGGGAAAAACCGAAAAUGGCGAUCUUGGCUGUUUCUUAAGCUCAUUGGACCGUUCUGCCACUGGGCCGGACUGGUCGGACUCUUUUUGCGAUUUGGGGCUAAAAACCGGGAGGUCGAAUGCAUAAAUAGGAAAUUAGUGUGUAUCAUUUGAACCUAGGUCUAUAUGAACAGAGACCGGCCCUCAGGUUUGGCCCAAUAACCAUCUCGCCCAACCAACUUUAUUGUACUGUAGAAGAAACCGAAAGUAUCUUAUCUUUUCUUACUAUGGUAUUAGUAAACAAUACAUAUUAUUUACAGCCUAAAAAACAAGCCGAUGAACCGGUAGACCGGUCCGACCAGUAAAACCUGAAAUGAGGGGCUCACCGGUUCGGUCACCAGUCCUGUUUCUCACAACAUGCGCAACUGCACAAGCUGUUUUGGUGACUUGUAGCUUCACAGAACCAAAAUCUUUUCUGUUUUGAUGCACUACAAGCUUGAUAUUACACAUGAUGCACCCUCCUGCUUAUAGGACUUCUAGGUCAGUCCUAUAGUCGCUGGUGCUACAGUAGACACUAGGGCGAUGCUACCAUACACAUCAAGUUUGUUGUGGAGACUACAACUAGCUAUUACAACUCAAUGAACAGCUCAUGCUCUAGGUGUUACAUGGUUAUUUCAUCUAGACAAUUCCUCUUGUGUAUCUACUGCCGACUGUUGAUAUUUUGGUUGUAAACUGUCCUAUACUACUACGCUAUAGGAUGCAAGGAUUGUCCUAACAUUCUGCCUCCUAUCCUUGUGUAUCUACUCUCUCCCCCAUUAAUCUUGUCAUAUCAACACCAUCAACAUCAUGCGCCCAUCUCCUGAUGGCUUUGUACCGCCUCAUGGCUAGUGACAACAUCACACACCGACUAUCUAACAACAUCACGCUGAUAUUUCUUGUGACAAUGGCAUCACACCAUUGUUUUGAGCAUCUCACCGACCCUUCUGAAAUGAUGGCAUCACACCAUCAUUGUAGGUAUCACACUAACUCUUCCCGACGAUGGCUAAGACCACUGUCGUCUUUGGCCACAUAUUGAUGCUUCAUAUGACAUUGGCAUCACACCGCCGGGCGUGCACUCCCCUCAACUCCUCUUAUAGGAUUGCUGGCCUUAGCAAGGAGUGCUUUGUAUUUCUUCUCUGGACACUCGGAAGCACAAUGCCCAAAGUCAUCAUAGUAGUCAUUGUACCUAUCUUUGUGGGCUACACCGUGUCCACGACCAUGACCUCAUCCUUGUGACAAGUCAUGCCCUCUUGUCAUGAGAAGUUGCUCUUCCACACCUCUCGUCUUUAGCCCCUUGAUAAGCUCUUCAUAGGCCUUGAGUCGAGUGACCCAAUACCCUCCUCCAUGACCAUCUUGUUGACAUCACUAAAUAGCGCAAUUGAUGAAGCAAAAUGGAUGAAUUUGUUGGAGACAGCUCGCAACUUCUUCACAACGUAUUUCUCCUCCAUCGUGUCUCCAAGCUCAUGGAUAUGCCCCACAAGCAUCGUGAAUUUCACAGCAAAGUCAUUCUCAGGCUCUCCAUCAGCCAGCUUGAGGCUAUUAAACUCUGAGCGCAAGUGAUAGAUCCUUGCCUCUUGGACGAGCUCGAUGCCCACAUGCAUGGAUUGCAGCCUGUGCACACAUCAGACGUGGUAUCCUCUGCAACACGUAAAGGCCAGCUCCUCCUUGCUCUCAUCAACCUCCUUUGGAUGAGCUCUCAUGAUCAACGACACCCCCCUGCACCAUUUGCUCGCAGGAGGUACUUCAUCAUCAUCUUCCAUACUGCGUAGUUCGUCCUUGUUAGCUGCGGGAACGGAAUCCUCCCUGCUGCUGCUGUCGCCAGGUUGCGUAAGCCACUAGUCGCCAUGGCUCCACUCGGUGCAGUGUCACGUGUCAUCGUCUUUGUCAUCACCUACCUCUGUUACCAAUUGUUUGAGUUUGAAUCACUCAAUUGCUCUCUUCCCUGGGAUCUUCACACGCUCUCAAACACACGCACACAAUACUAGCAAUGAAACUUAGCUGAAUCACUCAGCCUCUCUCUCUCUCUCUCUCUCUCUCUCUCUCUCUCUCUCUCUCCCUCUCUCCCUCUCUCUCUCUCUCUCUGCUUGUGUGUGUGUGUGCGUGCGCGCGCUGUGUUGUGUUUCUCACAACAUUCACAAGUACACAAGCUGUUUUGGUGGCUUGCUGCCUCACAAGGCCAAAAUCUUCUAUCUUUCGAUGCACUGCAAGCUUGAUAUUACACAAGAUGCACCCUCCUAUUUCUAGGAGUUCUAGGUCUCUGCUAUAGUCCCUGGUGCUGCAGUAGGUCGACAGUACAGUAUGUUGGUGCUACAGUACACAUCAAGUUAUUUCUGGACACUAAAACUAGCUAUUACAAGCUCAAUGCACAUGUCAUGUUCUAGGUGUUUAAUGGCUGUUUUGUCUAGACAAUUCCUAUGGUACUGCCUCCGCAGACUGUUGAUAUUUUUGUUGUAACCCAUCCUAUACUACUAUCCUAUCAUUGUUAGCUUAUGCAGCACUUCCGCUUCUACCUGUUGUGGCCAUGUCAUUUUUGUGACUGCUACUGAAGAUUACCGCCUCCAUUGCAUGAGGCUGAACUGCCCCAGUUGCAGAAGCGUCAGUUGAAGCCAUGGUGGUCAUGGGACAAACCCAGCAGUAGUUGGCUCUGAUACUAGCCCCUUUGCAGCCCUCCUUAUCGCUUCAUAAGUUAAGUUUAUGUGGGUAAAUUGUGUGUGGAUAUUUUUUUUAAGUUUGUAUUAUCCUGCCCAUACCUGAAUUCUUUGGGUGUUAUUUCAUACUCAUACCUACCUAAAUAGUUUGUGUAUGGAUUUGAAUAGGCAGUUGUUACCCAUUUGCAGGCCUUUAAAUAUGUGCUGCACAACGCAAGUUACUUAUAGUAUUCAUUUAUCAAUUGCAUAUUAACUAACAACAGCAAUAUAAUAUCGUUGGUGAAGCUCAGCUGGAGCCAGCAUCUUGGGACGAUAUGACAUGUGAGAUGAUGCAGAUUUUCUCCUUAAAGUUAGCUAAAUCUCCUAUCAACAGUGGCUCAAUGCAGUUAUAUGGAUACAUCGCGGCACGAGAUGAAUAUGAUUUAAGGCUUAAUUAUCUUUUCAAUCGUAGCAGAGAAGAUCCCAUCGUCGUGCAACAGGGUUUUCUCAUUCAAAUGACCGGACCUAAGAGAGGCAUUGCAUUUCACUGUGAUGUUCUACUUGAGUUUGGCAUGAGGAUCAAGAACGGAGAAAAUGAAGGAGAUGACACACAGUUGAUUGAUGGAAUGUCGGAAUUUCGUGGACUAUUAAUGCCAUGGGAACCAACUGAAAUUCCCAUUAAUGGUAAUUGUGCUACAGUUGAGAUGUCUGCUGCACUUGUUAGUAAUGCAAUUGCGGCCAUUGUAGAAGUUAUCAUAUCAGAAGCACAUGGUGAUUUUGAUCUAUCCCUCAGUUCCAUUGUUUCUGUUGUGGAGGAACAUGAAUUUCAGCUUUUUCAUGGCUCCGCUGGUGACUGGUGUGGUGUAAGGAGGUUUGUGAUUGCUGUCACAGUAAAUACUAUGUUGCAUUUGAAGUUCAUGCUUGGUCACAGAUGCUCCAACGGUAACAUUGAAGACACUUGUUCCUUCAAAGCCAAGCUAAACGGACACGCCAGCCAUCAAACAAAUUUGGAGGCUGCUUCUAUCUUGACGAAGGUGACAUGGGCGGCAUGGCCUCCUGAAAUGUUUUGUUGACUAGAUACUGAUUGUCUUUAUGUUGGAAUCGGGUACUGUUAUACCCGAUACCCGAUUCCUAUUUCAAUAAGUAGUAGAGACUGUUUUCUAGUAAGUUUGUUUUAUGCUUCGUUAUAUUCACAUCAGAUAUUGAUCCCAGAGGCAUUACGCAUGACAAAUGUGUAACAUCAAACCUGAUUCCUUGAAGUUUUGGCCAAUGUGCCCAUGACGAA